GUUACCCCUUGUAGAUUACAGGUUACCCCUUGUAGAACUAACACUAGAUUACAGGUUACCCCUUGUAGAUUACAGAUUACCCCUUGUAGAACUAACCCUAGAUUACAGGUUACCCCUUGUAGAACAUACCCCUAGAUUACAGGUUACCCCUUGUAGAACUAACACUAGAUUACAUGUUACCCCUUGUAGAUUACAGGUUACCCCUUGUAGAUUACAGGUUACCCCUUGUAGAACUAACCCUAGAUUACAGGUUACCCCUUGUAGAACUAACACUAGAUUACAGGUUACCCCUUGUAGAACUAACACUAGAUUACAGGUUACCCCUUGUAGAACUAACCCUAGAUUACAGGUUACCCCUUGUAGAACUAACCCUAGAUUAUAGGUUAUCCCUUGUAGAACUAACACUAGAUUACAGGUUACCCCUUGUAGAACUAACACUAGAUUACAGGUUACCCCUUGUAGAACUAACACUAGAUUACAGGUUUCCCCUUGUAGAACUAACACUAGAUUACAGGUUACCCCUUGUAGAACUAACCCUAGAUUACAGGUUACCCCUUGUAGAACUAACCCUAGAUUACAGGUUACCCCUUGUAGAACUAACACUGAACACCUGUAUGUGACCAAUAACAUCUGUUAAACACGUGUAUGUGACCAAUAACAUCUGCUAACCAUGAGUAUCUGACCAAUAACAUCUGCUAACCAUGUGUAUGUGACCAAUACCAUCUGCUAACCAUGUGUAUGUGACCAAUAACAUUUGCUAACCUUGUGUAUGUGACCAAUACCAUCUGCUAACCAUGUGUAUGUGACCAAUACCAUCUGCUAACCAUGUGACCAAUACCAUCUGCUAACCAUGUGUAUGUGACCAAUAACAUCUGCUAACCAUGUGUAUGUGACCAAUAACAUCUGCUAACCAUGUGACCAAUACCAUCUGCUAACCAUGUGACCAAUACCAUCUGCUAACCAUGUGUAUGUGAACUAUACCAUCUGCGAACCAUGUGACCAAUACCAUCUGCUAACCAUCUGUAUGCAACCAAUAACAUUUGAUAUGCUGUAAACAGGAGUACAACAUUUUUUUUGGGUUCUUGAUUUAACACAACAACAAAACAUGUCUUGUUAGUGAGGGAGAAGAUUGGUCCGAUCGCAACCCCAGACUUCAUCCAGAACGCUCCUGGACUUCCUAAAACACGAUCUGGUAAGAUCAUGAGGCGGGUCCUGAGGCAGAUCGCCCGGAACGAGAAGGAUCUAGGUGACCUUUCAACUAUGGCUGACCCCAAGGUCGUAGAGGUCCUGUUCAACCACCGCUGUGAAACGGCCUCUUGAGGGGGCUGCAUGUCAACACUCUACAGUAGCUUCUUCUCCUCAUCUCCUCUCCUCGUCUCCUCAUCUCCUCUCCUCGUCUCCUCCUCUCCUCUCCAUCCACACUGAUCUGAAAACUAUGGAAGCCCAUUCCUGCCACCAACUCUUUAAAAAAUUAUUAUUAUUUUUUUAAAAUAAUAACAUACUGCUACAAAUUAAGAACUAUAUAUGUGCACAUUUAUUUCCAUAUAUCCACGUUGCAGAGAUCAGCACAGCAGGGUGGCUGGCAUUUACCCCAACACUUUUUCAAUUCGGUUUAAUAAAAAAUAUUGACACAAAAGCAUUGAAGAUUACUGUUGUUUAGAAUGAUUUUGCCUUUAUGAUUUGUCAACUCGUGCUUCAGUCUGAUCAACUGUAGUCUACUGAUAACGACCACAGCUACAGGUGGCCAAGAGAAACCUAUGCACUCUGGUCUCUUCUGGCCAUAUGAAACGAAGCCGACUUCGUCUACCCAGACCGUAUCAAUCCAAAAUGAUUGACCUGAAAUCAAUCGAUGAACACAAUAGUGAUGACAUCCUGUACGAGUCACUUUUCAAUUACAGAUGUUAAAAGGCCCGCACUUUUUAACCGUGCAUGCAGUCAGCACUGUUGGUUCUAUUGGCCAAUCACAGUUGUUGAUUAGUAUUUAAAGAAUAAAUCAUUUUUAAACCAGGAUGUUGGGAAAUAACAAUCUGCCCACAUGCAACCGUUUUAUUUCUAUUACUAUGUCAUACCCUACGACUUAGGUUCUGGAGUUUUACCUGGUUGGGUUAGCCUACCAGUUCAGGAAAAACUCUGGGGGGGGGCCCCCCCUAGGAAAACCCCUCCUGUGGUGCCACCUCUGAAAAUCACCCCCACAGAGAGACAGAUGAAGAAGUAUGCUCUACAAUCUCAACCAUUUUUUUUUUUUUAAGUAUCUCAUCAUAACAAUAAAUGUGGUUGGCGGGAAUGGGCUUUCUGCAGAAAACACAGGUUAUAUAAUAUACAACAGGAAACAUGGCGGUAUUUUCUUAUCAUUCUGUCACUUCUUCAGCGUCAUUCUAGGAAGAUGGAGAUGAGGUGAGGAAGCUACGUUAAGACACCCAGAGAGUCCCCCUUCCUCCUCCACCUAAUCUGAAGAUGCUGAGGCCUGUCUCCUAGUCUGUGGACAAAGACACUUCAAUUAUUUUAAAUUGUACUGUUUGCUAUUCUUUAAACACGUGUUUUAUUCAUGUGCUGUUCUAUAAACCAGUGUGUGUGUUGAUCUGAUGGUCCCUAAGCGCUGAUCCUGGUCGUAAAUUAUUUUGUGUGGUCUGUUUGGAGGAUGGAUAUUAUUAGUGGUUGGGGGACAGAUCCUAGAUCAGAUCUUAUGGGAACGACUGACUUCGAUGUUGUCUAUGUAAGGGAAUUGCAGUCAAUUCAAAUGCCAAUCCCAAGGGCUCAAACCAAUGAACUCCGUUUAUUUCAACACUUUUCUAUACCCGGUCAAAAAGGACAUGAAACAAUCCCUAUUCCAAAUGAAUAUUUAUGCCCCAGUGUUGUCAUUUGCAUGUAAUAAUGGGUGGGCCAAUGUUGAGGUAAACUGGACACGGAAUCAGAAUCGUCCCUUGUUGCCUGGUCAGCAACCGAACCUCUGGAACCCCUGGAACCUCUGGAACAUUCAGUGUUCUGAUUGAUCAGCUUCUGUCUUCCAUCUUGUUUUUUUACAUGCUCCUCAGAUUAUAUAUUAUUAUUGAUCUGUAAAGUCUAAAUGAUGGAAAGCUAUGAUAAUUAUUCCCAGGGAGACCAGUCAGCUCUCAGUUCUUCCACAAACAUCGCUUCCAUUUGUUUGGACGUCUUUUGUCUAUUUCAACUUUGAGAUUUUAUGAUUUGAGAAUAAAACUGUUUAAUUUA